rnacentral:rRNA from 1 species
AUACGUAGGUGACAAGCGUUAUCCGGAUUUACUGGGCGUAAAGGGCGUGUAGGCGGUCUUGCAAGUCAGAAGUGAAAUUCCUGAGCUCAACUCGGGCGCUGCUUCUGAAACUGCAGGACUUGAGUGCUGGAGGGGAUAGCGGAAUUCCUAGUGGAGCGGUAAAAUGCGCAGAUAUUAGGAAGAACACCGGUGGCGAAGGCGGCUAUCUGGACAGUACCUGACGCUGUGGCGCGAAAUCGUGGGGAGCAAACAGGAUUAGAUCCCCGGGUAGUCCACGCUGUAAACGAUGAAUACUAGGUGUUGGGUUCCAAUAGGGAUUCGGUGCCGCAGCUAACGCAAUAAGUAUUCCACCUGGGGAGUACGUUCGCAAGAAUGAAACUCAAAGGAAUUGGCGGGG